rnacentral:rRNA from 1 species
CAACUCGGCUGCAUGAAGCUGGAAUCGCUAGUAAUCGCGGAUCAGAAUGCCGCGGUGAAUACGUUCCCGGGUCUUGUACACACCGCCCGUCACACCAUGGGAGUCGGAAAUGCCCGAAGUCUGUGACCCAACCGAAAGGAGGGAGCAGCCGAAGGCAGGUCGGAUGACUGGGGUGAAGUCGUAACAAGGUACC